rnacentral:lncRNA from 1 species
UUUAUCCUCCUUUGGGGCUCCUCACGGAGUUAUCUCCAGAAUCCAUUCGAUGGAUAUUCGGAGAUUAAUCGGAAUAGAGUGUUUACCUUUCAGAUCUGAUAAUUAAUCAUGCAUAAAAUUUUAGCAUAAUUGUUUAAACGAUUCCAGCAUAAUCCUAUGUGUUCUUACAAUGCUGAUUUCUAGAUUUGAUCUUGUAAGCAUGCACGAAUUAAAU